UUACAAGCUUUUAUUUACUUUCACCUGACCGUUGUCUGUGUCUAAUCAAAUCUUGCAAGUUAAAUCUGAUCCACUUCCCGGUUUCCGAUUGAGCUGAAAUUUUGCAUACAUACGUAAGUCGGGUGACAAUGCAAUAUUAUGAUGUCAUCGAGCUGAUCUGAUGAUGGAGACUGGAGGUGGCCUUCGGAACUCUAUGAUAAAACAACGAAACCUAAUUGUGUUUGGGGUUUUUAGAAUUGUCUCGAUGAGUAUUAGUUGCCUGUGGAAAGAAAAGUACAGUCAGCGAUAAAAGCUUGUACCAAAAAUUAAAUUUUCCCAAAUACUUAUUACGUACAUAUUUGCUCAUACAAUAAUGACUACCUACGUUGAAGUAAUACUAAUACAUUGUUUGAAUGUUUGUUCAUCGUGCAGUAGUUUAAUAGGGCCGCACCGACCACAAAGCCUAAUAACAGAUCAUCACACAAACAUGUGUAAACUACGCAUUAACUAACCUUCUAACACGGUAAUGCCACAUCACAAGUAAUACAUGCUUGUUGCCUUAAAUAACUAUUAGGUAUAUACCGCACAUUCGAUGUCACCGUGUGUUGAAUACAGGUUGUUAACGGUUUCACUACAACGUUUAACAGUUUAUAAUUCCAGUAAAAUAGGCACGAAGAAAGUGAUACCAGCCGUCUAGAAUUUAUGCAGGCCGGGAACAAUAAUUACAUUAGUACUGCGGUUACAAAAGCGAUGCACAUUAGCGAAAUGUGAGUUUACCUGCUCAUUGCGAUGUGGACGAUCACUUUGUCGGCAUCGACAAAGCCCAGCUGCCGUUCCGCCUUGUUUAACAGACUCUCGUUAAUUAUCCCUUCGACUAACCAAAAUCUAUAACGUUUUUAUCCUUUGUAUUAAGAACGCUCUUUGAAAACCACGCGCUGGAAGCGGAAUAGUUAAAUCACGCGGACGCUUGAGAUCAUAUAAAUUAUCAGAUGUAAAGAUAAUGAAGCAUCGCAGCUAUCCGAGGAAUUCCCGUCUCCUCGUUCAUUACAAAAGAGCUAACAAUGAGCUAUGGCACGUUCGUUACGGUCAUUAUUUGCUAAGCUUAAUUACCUGGCCUAUUCAACGCUAUCUACAGAACCGAUCGAUAUGAAAUAAAUCAAUUUAAUCUAAUUAAAAGCAUUACAUGUUUUUUGUUCGAUAACGAAACAAGACGAGGUAUUAGGAGAUGGAGUCGUGGAGAUUAGGAGGUGAGGUUGGAGCAGCGGGUCACCGAUCAUAUCUCGACAGUACCUACGUCAAGCCGUCCAUCCGCUGUCGAGGCUCUCUAUAAAUUAUUUAUCCAAUCUAAUUUAAUUUACAUCUCCCCUGACCUUUCGGUGUUGCAUCGGCUCUAGAAAAAUACCUCUUAGAAUCCACGUGACUCAUGCAAGUUUCAUGGCACUUAUUGUAUUACGGGAGGAAUCGCAUUAGGCGGAGUGCGGCGGAAUGUUUCGGGAACGCGGGGAAUCAGAUGCGUGCGGCGACGACAUGAAUUUUAAAUGUUCUGGUUGAUUCCGAUUUGAAUUAUGUGCAUGGCGCCGAUGAAAACUCUAGAAGUGCAUCUAUUCAGGUGUUGUUUGGUGCAUCGGCCGCCUGGCCGGGCCAGGAGGCCGGGCUGGCGCGUCUCGCCACGCAGUCUACGGCGGAAGUUUACGACCGAACGCCAGCCACUUUUAUUGGCUACCUCACAUCGAAGCCUCCUCGCAGCCUCCCAUUCACUCCGUUUAAUCGACCGACUGGUCGACUGACUGGUCGACUGACUGGUCAACAGUGCCAUAAACCAUCUUCACUGUCGCCGUAAAAGUCUCGUGCGGUUUUUCAUCUGCGCUGCGGAAUUAUACCUAUCCGAAAUGAUGCGGAUUCUUCGCCAAGGAUUAGAAUGGAUAAAGUGCCGGUAGGUGUGAAACUACAAUUCGCAGGAAAGCCGUAAUUAAUCUAACCUAACUUCAUACGGCAGCAAUAAAAGUGACCUGCGCAACACAUGUGCGUAUUACACAGAUUUAAAACAGUA